rnacentral:rRNA from 1 species
AUUGAACGCUGGCGGCAGGCCUAACACAUGCAAGUCGAACGGUAACAGGAAACAGCUUGCUGUUUCGCUGACGAGUGGCGGACGGGUGAGUAAUGUCUGGGAAACUGCCUGAUGGAGGGGGAUAACUACUGGAAACGGUAGCUAAUACCGCAUAACGUCGCAAGACCAAAGAGGGGGACCUUCGGGCCUCUUGCCAUCGGAUGUGCCCAGAUGGGAGUAGCUAGUAGGUGGGGUAACGGCUCACCUAGGCGACGAUCCCUAGCUGGUCUGAGAGAAUGACCAGCCACACUGGAACUGAGACGCGGUCCAGACUCCUACGGGAGGCAGCAGUGGGGAAUAUUGAACAAUGUGCGCAAGCCUGAUCCAGCCAUGCCGCGUGUAUGAAGAAGGCCUUCGGGUUGUAAAGUACUUUCAGCGGGGAGGAAGGGAGUAAAGUUAAUACCUUUGCUCAUUGACGUUACCCGCAGAAGAAGCACCGGCUAACUCCGUGCCAGCCGCCGCCGUAA